ACGUAGGGUGCAAGCGUUAAUCGGAAUUACUGGGCGUAAAGCGUGCGCAGGCGGUUAUAUAAGUCAGAUGUGAAAUCCCCGGGCUCAACCUGGGAACUGCAUUUGAGACUGUAUAGCUAGAGUACGGUAGAGGGGGAUGGAAUUCCGCGUGUAGCAGUGAAAUGCGUAGAUAUGCGGAGGAACACCGAUGGCGAAGGCAAUCCCCUGGACCUGUACUGACGCUCAUGCACGAAAGCGUGGGGAGCAAACAGGAUUAGAUACCCUGGUAGUCCACGCCCUAAACGAUGUCUACUAGUUGUCGGGCCUUAAUUGGCUUGGUAACGCAGCUAACGCGUGAAGUAGACCGCCUGGGGAGUACGGUCGCAAGAUUA
rnacentral:rRNA from 1 species